ensembl:piRNA 21ur-5230 ncRNA
UAGGAGUUCAGUACUGUUUGA